UACGUAGGGACCAAGCGUUGUUCGGAUUUACUGGGCGUAAAGGGCGCGUAGGCGGCGUGGUAAGUCACUUGUGAAAUCUCUGAGCUUAACUCAGAACGGCCAAGUGAUACUGCUGUGCUAGAGUGCAGAAGGGGCAAUCGGAAUUCUUGGUGUAGCGGUGAAAUGCGUAGAUAUCAAGAGGAACACCUGAGGUGAAGACGGGUUGCUGGGCUGACACUGACGCUGAGGCGCGAAAGCCAGGGGAG
rnacentral:rRNA from 1 species